AUUCAUUGGCAAUUCAAAAAAACUAAUUUUUACUCAAAGUUUUUUUUAAUAUCCAGAAGAAUUAAUUGGAUAUUUUUUCAGCAGGACUGAGGGACUUCUUAAUAAAAAUUUCAGCUAGCUUAGGCAUCCAUUACAGAGACAAAUUAUUAUUUUCCAUUAAUAGGGCUUUAUGAAAAUAUUAAGAUACACUCUUGCUAUUAUAGCAUUUAAACAACACCUCCCUGAAAGUUCUUUUGCUCUGAGAAACACAAUUUGACUCACAUUACAGUUAACGCGAUUUUAAAUAUACCAGUGAAACGAUGCCUGCGGUUGGGGGAACAGAGCAAACUCAGACUCUAUCAACCUUCUAAACAUGAAUCUUGAUAAUUUCAUAUGGAGAGAAUAAAUAUUUUUCCACUUGAAUACUCCAGAAUACCUGCAGAAAUAAAGACUUACAAAAACAAAUACUAAGAAAACUACCUGUUUAAGGAAUUACAGAAAGAUAUACAAUGAAACUGUGUGUAGAAAAUGCCCAGGUGGUCUGACGCCAGAGACCUCAACUGAAUUUCACUCUGCCACUCAACAGCUCUGAGAUAAAUUGGUAGUUUAAAUGCAAGAGAGUUUGUUGUGUUUAUCACUGCAUCUCCAAGAUCUAGAAUCAUACCUGACAUAUCUAGUAUGCA
rnacentral:lncRNA from 10 species